AUUGAACGCUGGCGGCAGGCUUAACACAUGCAAGUCGAGCGGGGUGAUGGUGCUUGCACUAUCACUUAGCGGCGGACGGGCGAGUAAUGCUUAGGAAUCUGCCUAUUAGUGGGGGACAACAUCUCGAAAGGGAUGCUAAUACCGCAUACGUCCUACGGGAGAAAGCAGGGGAUCACUUGUGACCUUGCGCUAAUAGAUGAGCCUAAGUCGGAUCAGCUAGUUGGUGGGGUAAAGGCCUACCAAGGCGACGAUCUGUAGCGGGUCUGAGAGGAUGAUCCGCCACACUGGGGCUGAGACACGGCCCAGACUCCUACGGGAGGCAGCAGUGGGGAAUAUUGGACAAUGGGGGGAACCCUGAUCCAGCCAUGCCGCGUGUGUGAAGAAGGCCUUUUGGUUGUAAAGCACUUUAAGCGAGGAGGAGGCUCCUGUAGAUAAUACCUACAGUGAGUGGACGUUACUCGCAGAAUAAGCACCGGCUAACUCUGUGCCAGCCGCCGCAGUAA
rnacentral:rRNA from 1 species